rnacentral:rRNA from 1 species
GACGAACGCUGGCGGCGUGCUUAACACAUGCAAGUCGAACGUAGAGCGAUGGAAGCUUGCUUCUAUCAAUCUUAGUGGCGAACGGGUGAGUAACGCGUAAUCAACCUGCCCUUCAGAGGGGGACAACAGUUGGAAACGACUGCUAAUACCGCAUACGAUCCAAUCUCGGCAUCGGGACUGGAUGAAAGGUGGCCUCUAUUUAUAAGCUAUCACUGAAGGAGGGGAUUGCGUCUGAUUAGCUAGUUGGAGGGGUAACGGCCCACCAAGGCGAUGAUCAGUAGCCGGUCUGAGAGGAUGAACGGCCACAUUGGGACUGAGACACGGCCCAGACUCCUACGGGAGGCAGCAGUGGGGAAUCUUCCGCAAUGGACGAAAGUCUGACGGAGCAACGCCGCGUGAGUGAUGACGGCCUUCGGGUUGUAAAGCUCUGUUAAUCGGGACGAAUGGUUCUUGUGCGAAUAGUGCGAGGAUUUGACGGUACCGGAAUAGAAAGCCACGGCUAACUACGUG